UAGGGAAUAUUGGUCAAUGGGCGCAAGCCUGAACCAGCCAUGCCGCGUGCAGGAAGACUGCCCUAUGGGUUGUAAACUGCUUUUGUACGGGAAGAAAUCACGCUACGUGUAGUGUGUUGACGGUACCGUAAGAAUAAGGAUCGGCUAACUUCGUGCCAGCAGCCGCGGUAAUACGAAGGAUCCAAGCGUUGUCCGGAUUUACUGGGUUUAAAGGGAGCGUAGGCGGUCUCAUAAGUCAGUGGUGAAAGCCUUCAGCUUAACUGAAGAAUUGCCAUUGAAACUGCGAGACUCGAGUAUGGUUGAGGUCACUGGAAUGUAACAUGUAGCGGUGAAAUGCAUAGAUAUGUUACAGAACACCAAUUGCGAAGGCAGGUGACUAAGCCAUAACUGACGCUGAGGCUCGAAAGCGUGGGGAGCAAACAGG
rnacentral:rRNA from 1 species